rnacentral:rRNA from 1 species
UAGCAUAUCAAUAAGCGGAGGAAAAGAAACCAACAGGGAUUGCCCUAGUAACGGCGAGUGAAGCGGCAACAGCUCAAAUUUGAAAUCUGGCUUCGGCCCGAGUUGUAAUUUGCAGAGGAAGCUUUAGGCGCGGCACCUUCUGAGUCCCCUGGAACGGGGCGCCAUAGAGGGUGAGAGCCCCGUAUAGUUGGAUGCCUAGCCUGUGUAAAGCUCCUUCGACGAGUCGAGUAGUUUGGGAAUGCUGCUCAAAAUGGGAGGUAAAUUUCUUCUAAAGCUAAAUACCGGCCAGAGACCGAUAGCGCACAAGUAGAGUGAUCGAAAGAUGAAAAGCACUUUGAAAAGAGGGUUAAAUAGCACGUGAAAUUGUUGAAAGGGAAGCGCUUGUGACCAGACUUGCGCCGGGCGGAUCAUCCGGUGUUCUCACCGGUGCACUCCGCCCGGCUCAGGCCAGCAUCGGUUCUCGCGGGGGGAUAAAGGUCCUGGGAACGUAGCUCCUCCGGGAGUGUUAUAGCCCGGGGCGUAAUGCCCUCGCGGGGACCGAGGUUCGCGCAUCUGCAAGGAUGCUGGCGUAAUGGUCAUCAGCGACCCGUCUUGAAACACGGACCAAGGAGUCAAGGUUUUGCGCGAGUGUUUGGGUGUAAAACCCGCACGCGUAAUGAAAGUGAACGUAGGUGAGAGCUUCGGCGCAUCAUCGACCGAUCCUGAUGUUUUCGGAUGGAUUUGAGUAGGAGCGUUAAGCCUUGGACCCGAAAGAUGGUGAACUAUGCUUGGAUAGGGUGAAGCCAGAGGAAACUCUGGUGGAGGCUCGCAGCGGUUCUGACGUGCAAAUCGAUCGUCAAAUCUGAGCAUGGGGGGCGAAAGACUAAUCGAACCAUCUAGUAGCUGGUUACCGCCGAUU